rnacentral:rRNA from 1 species
CCUACGGGAGGCAGCAGUGGGGAAUAUUGGACAAUGGGGGGAACCCUGAUCCAGCGACGCCGCGUGAGUGAAGAAGUAUUUCGGUAUGUAAAGCCCUAUCAGCAGGGAAGAAAGAAAUGACGGUACCUGACUAAGAAGCCCCGGCUAACUACGUGCCAGCAGCCGCGGUAAUACGUCGGGGGCAAGCGUUAUCCGGAUUUACUGGGUGUAAAGGGAGCGUAGACGGCGAUGCAAGUCUGAAGUGAAAGGCGGGGGCCCAACCCCCGGACUGCCUUGGAAACUGUAUGGCUGGAGUGCAGGGGAGGUAAGUGGAAUUCCUAGUGUAGCGGUGAAAUGCGUAGAUAUUAGGAGGAACACCAGUGGCGAAGGCGGCUUACUGGACUGUAACUGACGUUGAGGCUCGAGAGCGUGGGGAGCAAACAGGAUUAGAUACCCUAGUAGUC